GUUGCCUGGGCAUGUAACUCUACUGGCUCAAUUUGUUUCGGAACCAUCCCCUGUAAAAUCUACUGUUACAAAAGCAGUGGCAGAGUUCCGGCGAACUCAUGCGGAUACAUGGAAUAUACAAAAAGAUUCCUUCAGCGAAGAGCAGCUUGAGGUUCUGGCUGAUACAUCCUCGUCUUCAUCGUACUUUGCUUGAUAUGUGGUAUUGUUAUUAUAAUUAUUAUUGUUUUUUAAAAAUAUUUUAUUUUCAUAUUAUGAGCAAAAAGAAUUACUGUAAGAGAGAAACGCACAAAUUUAGGAAAUUGUAUUUAAUGCUUUGUUGAUCAUUUAAUUUAAUUGAUUAUAUCUGUACUUUUCCUUCAUAAAUGCAGAUUCUUUUUAGUCUAA